GACGUAGGGCGCGAGCGUUGUCCGGAUUUAUUGGGCGUAAAGAGCUCGUAGGCGGUUUGUUGCGUCGGCUGUGAAAUCCCGAGGCUCAACCUCGGGUCUGCAGUCGAUACGAGCAAACUAGAGUGUUGCAGGGGAGACUGGAAUUCCUGGUGUAGCGGUGAAAUGCGCAGAUAUCAGGAGGAACACCGGUGGCGAAGGCGGGUCUCUGGGCCGUAACUGACGCUGAGGAGCGAAAGCAUGGGGAGCGAACAGG
rnacentral:rRNA from 1 species